GGAGCCCCAGGUUUUCCUGGCCUCCCAGGCAGAAAAGGGGUCAUGGGAGAUGCUGGGCCUCGAGGGCCCACAGGCAUAGAAGGAUUCCCAGGGCCACCAGGUCUGCCCGGUGCAAUGAUCCCUGGCCAGAAAGGAAAUCAUGGUCCACCAGGCUCAAGAGGAAGCCCAGGUGAGCCUGGUCCCCCUGGACCUCCAGGGAGUCACGUAAUAGGCAUAAAAGGAGACAAAGGGUCUAUGGGCCACCCUGGCCCGAAAGGUCCACCUGGAACUGUAGGAGACAUGGGACCACCAGGUCAUCUGGGAGCACCAGGUACUCCAGGUCUUCCAGGACUUAGAGGUGAUCCUGGAUUCCAGGGGUUUCCAGGCGUGACAGGAGAAAAGGGUAAUCCUGGAUUUCUAGGAUCCAUUGGACCUCCAGGACCAAUUGGGCCAAAAGGACCACCUGGUAUACGUGGAGACCCUGGCACACUUAAGAUUAUCUCCCUUCCAGGAAGCCCAGGGCCACCUGGCACACCUGGAGAACCAGGGAUGCAGGGAGAACCUGGGCCACCAGGGCCACCUGGAAACCUAGGUGUGGGACUGGCAGCAUUGACUUGGAUCACUAGGAAGUGGUUGAACCAAAAUACCUGUAAACUACUUUGGAAACAGCUGAUACAACUUCACAGAAAAUGUUGAACAUGAUAGUGGUUUUCACAAUCAGUCUUAGGAUUGAGCUCAUUUUACCCUUGACCAGCAAAUAAAAGACCUUGGAAUCU
rnacentral:sRNA from 1 species